UAAAUACUCCCUCCGUCCGGAAAUACUUGUCAUCAAAAUGGAUAAAAGGAAAUGUAUCUAGACAUAUUUUAGUUUUAGAUACAUCUCUUUUUAUCCAUUUUGAUGACAAGUAUUUUCGGACGGAGGGAGUAGAAA
rnacentral:pre_miRNA from 1 species